ACCAAUGGAUCCUUCUGAG
rnacentral:snRNA from 1 species